GUGGGAUUUUAAUGCAUGAACAGAGACCGACCGCAAGGCCAAAACUUAUGGAACUCUUUUCGGCUAAAAAACCUGUGCGGUCGGUCAAAACUUCAAAGAUCCAUAACUCCCGAACCCCUCAACCGAAUGGGCUGAAAUUUGGACAUGUUGUUUCCCUGAGCGAGAGACUUAAAGGUGUACCCCCUGUUUUUGGGGUACAUCCAGAAUUUGGGUAAAAUUGUGUCUGUUUUAAUUAUGUUAUAUGUUUAUCUGAGGGGAGGAGACGUGGGGGUUGUAUCAUGUAUCUGAUUGGCUGUUGUGUUAAUUAUGUGGGUGUAGCCUUUCAGAGGGCACCAUUGCAUAAAAGGAGACCCCUGUCAAUAAACAUCAGUUCUACUUGACCCUUCAAAACGUAGCCUCGUCUCGUUCUUGGAGGGGAUUUAUGGUACCAUUACUCUGCCUCAUUUUACAGCAAUGCCGGAUUAUACACUUGGAUAUCGUGGAUGGGAAUAAGAACUCCAUUACUUCACAGCAGCUUGCCUAGAAAAGGACGUCUCCAACGGCAGAUACCCCUUUCCAGUAGGGUAGCCGUUAC
rnacentral:lncRNA from 1 species